GACGAACGCUGGCGGCGCGCUUAACACAUGCAAGUCGAACGGAAAGGCCUGCUUUCCCUUGUGGAUUGCGGGUACUCGAGUGGCGAACGGGUGAGUAACACGUGAGUGAUCUGCCCCCAACUUGGGUAUAAGCCUGGGAAACUGGGUCUAAUUCCCGAUAGGACUGCAGGGUGGUGCCUGUGGUGGAAAACGAUUUUCUAGUGGUUGGGGAUGAGCUCGCGGCCUAUCAGCUUGUUGGUGGGGUAAUGGCCUACCAAGGCGGCGACGGGUAGCCGGCCUGAGAGGGUGGACGGCCACAUUGGGACUGAGAUACGGCCCAGACUCCUACGGGAGGCAGCAGUGGGGAAUAGUGCACAAUGGGCGGAAGCCUGAUGCAGCGACGCCGCGUGGGGGAUGACGGCCUUCGGGUUGUAAACUCCUUUCGACCGCGAGGAAGCCACCUGGUUGGAAGGGUGGUGACGGUAGUGGUAGAAGAAGCACCGGCCAACUACGUG
rnacentral:rRNA from 1 species